GCGUGAUCGAUGAAGGCCUUAGGGUUGUAAAGAUCUUUCGUGGGGGAAGAUAAUGACGGUACCCCAAGAAGAAGCCCCGGCUAACUCCGUGCCAGCAGCCGCGGUAAUACGGAGGGGGCUAGCGUUAUUCGGAAUUACUGGGCGUAAAGCGCACGUAGGCGGAUUGGAAAGUCAGAGGUGAAAUCCCAGAGCUCAACUUUGGAACUGCCUUUGAAACUCCCAGUCUUGAGGUCGAGAGAGGUGAGUGGAAUUCCGAGUGUAGAGGUGAAAUUCGU
rnacentral:rRNA from 1 species